AUAUAUUUUUUUUUUUGUAUUUCUGUAUCCAGCUGCAGCAGCUGGUUUUCGUGCUUUUUGUUGCUGUUGUCGCAUCUGAUUAGCGCCAAGUAAAGCUGUUUCGAGCUGGCAAUGAAAGAAAUGUGGGCAAAAAAGUAGCGAAAACCACACGUCGCUCAGUCUCACGUGGGUGCCGAGGUCUACAGAGGCAGAAACUUGUAAUCAGUCUUCGGAACUUCAGAAGCUGUGGAGACGGGGCAUUAAAGAUGGGUUGGCCCGUUGCGGUCUAUUGCCAUCAGCUGGGCGUUGCAUGUGUGUGCGUGAGAGCAACGUCAAUUAAAUACAACAGAAAAAAGAACAAUAAAAUGGGAAGAAGGGGCCGAAGCGCAUAAUACCCUUAUAGAUCAAUAAUUUCCAUUCUGCUAGUGCGACAGACACCAAACUUUACAUGAUCCACUGAAAACGUAUAAUACGUAAGGCUACCAAGUUUCGUAACAAUCCAUGUUGUAGCAACAGAGUUACGAUAGUUUGGAAUAAACUCUUCUGCGAAAUUAGACCCAAAGCAUUAUUUAUUAUUAAUAUCCAUUUAUUUAUUUGAUUUAUUUCCAACUACUCCAUUUAAUAAUACCAUGGUUUCAAAAAGGGUAUAGAAAACAUUGUCGACAAUGAAAAAUUCAAAUAAAGAUGCCAUUUUCUGUGGCGCUUUCUACCUCUAAUUACACAAA